rnacentral:rRNA from 1 species
UACGAAGGGGGCUAGCGUUGUUCGGAAUUACUGGGCGUAAAGCGCGCGUAGGCGGCUCUGCAAGUCGGGUGUGAAAUCCCCAGGCUUAACCUGGGAACUGCAUUCGAGACUGCAUUGCUAGAGUAUGGGAGAGGGAAGUGGAAUUUCCGGUGUAGCGGUGAAAUGCGUAGAUAUCGGAAGGAACAUCAGUGGCGAAAGCGACUUCCUGGACCAAUACUGACGCUCAUGUGCGAAAGCGUGGGGAGCAAACAGG